rnacentral:rRNA from 1 species
CCUACGGGAGGCAGCAGUGGGGAAUUUUGCGCAAUGCUCGUAAGAGUGACGCAGCGACGCCGCGUGAAUGACGAAGGCCUUCGGGUCGUAAAGUUCUGUCGUCAGGGAAGAAAAUGCCUAUAAGUAACUGUGUAUGUAUUGACGGUACCUGUAUAAGCAGCCCCGGCUAACUCCGUGCCAGCAGCCGCGGUAAUACGGAGGGGGCGAGCGUUGUUCGGAGGGACUGGGCGUAAAAAGCAAGUAGGCGGUGUUGUAAGUCAUUAGUCAAAUACUAGAGGUCAAAUUUGGUAAGGCUAGUGAUACUAUAAUACUAGAGUAUUAGAGAGGAUUGCAGAAUUCCUGGUGUAGCGGUGAAAUGCGUAGAUAUCAGGAGGAAUACCGUUAGCGAAGGCGGCAAUCUGGCUGGAAACUGACGCUGAGGUGCGAAAGCGUGGGUAGCAAACAGGAUUAGAUACCCUGGUAGUC